GUAGUAUGUAAAUUCCCCAGUUUUCUCACCCCUCAGAUGAGAUGAAUAUACCACAUAUGGUCUACAUCACUGCACAGUUUCCCUGCAGGAUAAGGCUUAGUCCCUCCCUGCGUUAGCUGGUGUAAGUGCUCAUCCUUGAUUGGCUGCUUCCCUUCCUUGUACCUUCUCCUCACUUUCCUCUCUGCGAUGUCUACACUUCUGAAAUAAACCAUUACACUUGAAUACUCAUCUUAGGAUCUGCUUCUGGGUAUUGAGAAUUAAGAUAAGCAACACAAACAGAAUUUAAGUGGUGAUGAACACCAUGAGAGUACCUGUUAAGUGGGGGGUUCUUCCUUUUCUCUCCAUAUUUUCAUAUGGAAGGACUUCCACCUUGAUGAAUGCCCAGUAGCUUCUCUCCAUAGAAGCGACAUUCAUUUUUUUAUGAUUUUGACUGAUUUCUGGUGGUAGUAGUGGGGAGGGUUAUAAAGAAGCAGAGAAGAAGAGAUUCAUUUUUUCUUCCCUCUUUACCAGACCAGUAUAAGUGUUAAAUCUGGAGAAAUAUCUGCCUGCCCUACAGACACAAACUUUCCUUCAAUUGGGGCUACCCCCCAAAUCCAGACUAGGGUUUAAAGGUGGGCAUGCAGAGUAUCAGCAACUCUUUCAAGGUGAUGUAUCUAAAUUCACAUUUAUCAGUUGACUUUAUGAAUAUUGAAGCUGGUAUUCCUCAAAGUAUUCAUCCAUAUGCUUCUUUUUUCUUAGCUGAUCCUGAACUUGCCAGUGGCAUGCAUAUAUAGAUCUGUAUAGCUUGGUGCUUCUAUAAUCUCACUGAAAAGAGACUAUUGCCUUGUGACUUUUCACUGAAUAUGAAAACCAUUUUUACCAUUAGGUUC
rnacentral:lncRNA from 1 species